rnacentral:rRNA from 1 species
UACGUAGGGGGCAAGCGUUGUCCGGAUUUAUUGGGCGUAAAGAGCGUGUAGGCGGCCAGAUAGGUCAGCUGUGAAAACUCGAGGCUCAACCUCGAGAUGUCGGCUGAAACCAUCUGGCUAGAGUCCGGAAGAGGAGAAUGGAAUUCCCGGUGUAGCGGUGAAAUGCGCAGAUAUCGGGAAGAACACCCGUGGCUAAGGCGGCUCUCUAGUACGGUACUGACGCUGAGACGCGAAAGCGUGGGGAGCGAACAGG